AUGAAGUUGAAAUUGAGCUUAAUUUUUGUUUUUGCUCUUUUAAAAGAUGUCUGGUGUGAAGUACAGCUGCUGGAGUCUGGAGGAAGCUUGGUGCAGCCUGGGGCUUCUCUGAAACUCUCUUGUGUAGCCUCAGGAUUCACUUUCAGUAACUACUGGAUGAGCUGGGUUCGCCAGACUCCUGGAAAGACCAUAGAGUGGAUUGGAAAUAUCAAAUAUGAUGGCAGUUACACAAACUUUGCACCAUCCCUAAAGAAUCGAUUCACAAUCUCUAGAGACAAUGCCAAGAGCACCCUGUACCUGCAGAUGAGCAAUGUGAGAUCUGAGGACACAGCCACUUAUUACUGUAUUAGAGACACAGUGAAUGAACUUCAGUGUGAAACUAGACAUAAACCUCACUGUUAG